GCGCCUGUAGCUCAGUUGGAUAGAGUGUCGGUUUCCGAAGCCGAAGGUCACAGGUUCAAUUCCUGUCAGGCGCACCA
rnacentral:tRNA from 2 species